UUGGAGGGCAAGUCUGGUGCCAGCAGCCGCGGUAAUUCCAGCUCCAAUAGCGUAUAUUAAAGUUGUUGCAGUUAAAAAGCUCGUAGUUGAAUUUCGGGGUUAGUAGGUUGGUCAUGCCACUGGUAUGUACUGGUCUCACUGAUUCCUCCUUCCUGAUGAGCCGUAAUGCCAUUAAUUUGGUGUUGCGAGGAAUCUGGACUGUUACUUUGAAAAAAUUAGAGUGUUUAAAGCAAGCUAACGCUUGAAUACAUUAGCAUGGAAUAAUGAAAUAGGACGUUCGAUCCUAUUUUGUUGGUUUCUAGGAUUGACGUAAUGAUUAAUAGGGAUAGUUGGGGGCAUUAGUAUUCAAUUGUCAGAGGUGAGAUUCUUGGAUUUAUUGAAGACUAACUACUGCGAAAGCAUUUGCCAAGGAUGUUUUCAUUAAUCAAGAACGAAAGUUAGGGGAUCGAAGACGAUCAGAUACCGUCGUAGUCUUAACCAUAAACUAUGCCGACUAGGGAUCGGAUGAUGUUAUUUUUAAUGACUCAUUCGGCGCCUUACGGGAAACCAAAGUGUUUGGGUUC
rnacentral:rRNA from 1 species